ACCCUCCACAUUCCUUAAACCUCAGGUAUAAACUGACCCGAGUGGUUAUCGAAGGAGGAAAAGUAAAACUGAGGAGGAUUUGGAUUCUUUAGUGACAUACAUGUUUUUUCGAACAAAA
rnacentral:snoRNA from 1 species